rnacentral:rRNA from 1 species
UCUACGGGAGGCAGCAGUGAGGAAUAUUGGUCAAUGGACGAGAGUCUGAACCAGCCAAGUAGCGUGAAGGAUGACUGCCCUAUGGGUUGUAAACUUCUUUUAUAUGGGAAUAAAACGUUCCACGUGUGGGAUUUUGUAUGUACCAUAUGAAUAAGGAUCGGCUAACUCCGUGCCCGCAGCCGCGGUAAUACGGAGGAUCCGAGCGUUAUCCGAAUUUAUUGGGUGUAAAGGGAGCGUAGGGGGAUUGUUAAGUCAGUUGUGAAAGUUUGCGGUUCAACCGUAAAAUUGCAGGUGAAACUGGCAGUCUUGAGUACAGUAGAGGUGGGCGGAAUUAGUGGUGUAGCGGUGAAAUGCUUAGAUAUCACGAAGAACUCCGAUUGCGAAGGCAGUUCACUGGACUGCAACUGACACUGAGGCUCGAAAGUGUGGGUAUCAAACAGGAUUAGAUACCCCAGUAGUC